CCUAGAUUCACCCAGGAGCACUCCCAACCUGCAGGGGGCAACCAUGCAACAGAGUUGGUGGAACUAACUUCUCAGGAAGUGCUCUUGGGACCAUAUUCACCUGCGCACCCAGAGGGAGUGCAUGGCAUUUGAGAUGUUUGGUAAAAGCUCAGUUGGCCCUCUCACCCAUUCCUGAAGAGGUACUAUGACCACAGCUCCUGAUCAUCUAGAGACGCAACUGGUUAUCAACCUAUUCUGCUCCAUCCCAAUUUAUCAAACCAUCUUCAAGAAAAUAAAAAACCAAAAAGUGAACA